rnacentral:rRNA from 1 species
UCAGCGAUGGAUAUCUUGGCUCGGGCACCUGUGAAGGGCGCAGCGAAGCGCUAUAGUCUUUGUGAAUUGCAGAACUCCGUGAACCAAUCUUGGGAUUUCCUGAGAGUAUG